CCCUACGGGGUGCAGCAGGCAGCGGAUGUCCAAAUAAACCCGUUGGGAGAAUAUCACCAUCCCGUGAAAAUAUUUUACAAAUGCGGCAAAUGCCAAUUUGCCGCUACGAAAACCUUCAUGAGCGAGCCGCGGUUGGCGUCAUUUUUUUCAUCAUUGGGUUUGACAUGAAGAGAAAUCUCGGAAAAAUAGUCAUCCCUGUGCCAGCGUAGCUCAGUUGGUUAGAGCGUGGGACUCAUAAGCCCGAGGUCAGUGGUUCGAUUCCACUCGCUGGCACCACUUGAUUUUCCUCAAUGCGAGCCGUAUUAUUUUUGAAGAAAGAAGGUUUUUUUCCGUCACUGUUGCGCGUAACUAUGCAAAGCAAACUCGAUUGGAGGGAGGGUUAUGAGAAUUAACCGGUAUCUUCAGGGCAUUCGCGGACGGUUUAUCCGAUGGACCGUUGUUUUGACCCUUUGCAUUUGCAUCCUGGCGGGGGGGC
rnacentral:rRNA from 1 species